UACAAGGCUGGGACCGCGCGAUAGGCCCUGAGGCCCCUUCGCCCAAGGGGGUUUUCCCUUCUCUGGGCCUCUGUUACCCACGGGGAGGAGGGACCCUUCUCUCUGGGAAGGAAGGAGGAAGGACCCCACUCUCUGGGAAUCAUUUGCCGGCCAAUAAUGCUGCAAUUCCCAAGCAAAAGAGGCCCUAUUGCUUUUUGUGACCACUGAGGUCCCAGGCAGAGCUCACAGGGGAAAGAGAAGAGGCCCAGGACCCCAGCUGAGGGACUGCCAAGGGACAGGAGGAGAAGGGCGUCUAGGAUUGUGUGGAGGGGUCCACAUAUCACUUGGCAAUAUAAGCAAAUUCUGGCUGGAGAAAUCUGACUCUCAGGGCGGUUCCGGAGAAAUGAGGCGGUGCCUGGGAAACUGAGGCACAGCCCCAAGGAGUCCAGCCCGGGGACCCGAGCCCGCAUCCCCAUCGCGGGCGCUGGACCAGACUGCGAAUGUCAGACUUCGGGUCAAAGCGACCUCAGGCCGCGGGCGCCUGGGCCUUCGCCACAGGACUUGGGAGUGGCCGUUGCUGCCCAAGCCGGGAAAGCUGGACCUUGACGGAAGAGGCCCGUGUGUCUGAGUGCUGUGCUGGGGGCUGACGCUGGCCGGAGCCAGCCCAGAGCCUCCCGGAGUCCAGGGUCUCAGGCUGGCGAGGAACCCGCCUGUGCUGUAGCGUAGACCCCCUUGGGCCUUGCCUGAGGACGAGAGGCUUGUCUCUGAGCUGCUGCCGGACUAGCCCUUACGCUCUGGAUCCGCGGCACCUUGGCCGAGCCUGAACCAGCAACUCAGACUUUUUCUGCUCCUUUCAGUUCUCUUCUCUUCUUUCCUUGUCCGGGCCCUGCCUUGACCUGCCUGCCCUCUCCACUGCAUCCCCUCUUCUGACCUUUCCCUAUCUCUCUCCAGCCUUCCUCUCAGUGGGGUGGGUCUGCCCUUCCUCUCAUCGUCCCCCAAGGAUCCCUUCUCCCCUCCCGCUGCCUCCUCACUUUCACCCGCUCAUCUUGCUGGGCCCUUCCUGACUCCAGCGGGCCUAACACCGCCGGUAGUGAGAUGCUAUCCGGGCAGGGAGCCCUCCUACCUUCUAGCAGGACCUCAGCCCAGGGAACUGACAUCCUCUAUACCCAGUGAUCCUCCAGCCAGUGAUCCGCCUGCCUGAGGGGCAGCGGGACCAGUUGGUUCGUUUUGAGUUCCAUUUCUGCUGUCUUUUGCCUCCAGCUGCGCUGUUAAUAAUUCGUUUGAAGCGGGCAAAAAAAUAAAAAAAUCACUUAGGACUAAU